rnacentral:lncRNA from 1 species
CGCGUUACUUCGUUUAGUUUUUACGACGUCUAGAUCAUCUGCUGUUGCCAAUAAAACAAAAACAACAUUUAUGGAAAACAAAAGCAACUUAGAAAUUGCAUUCAAUAACGGGAAUAUUUUUAUAAAAAGUUGAAUUAAGACUGACAAGGAAAUAACUGCGACAAAAGCGA